UACAGAGGGGGCGAGCGUUAUUCGGAAUUAUUGGGCGUAAAGGGCGCGUAGGCGGCUUUUCAAGUGACGGGUGAAAUCCCUCGGCUUAACCGAGGAACUGCCUGUCAGACUGGAAGGCUUGAGUCCGGGAGAGGUGAGUGGAAUUCCCAGUGUAGCGGUGAAAUGCGUAGAUAUUGGGAGGAACACCAGUGGCGAAGGCGGCUCACUGGACCGGAAUUGACGCUGAGGCGCGAAAGCGUGGGGAGCAAACAGG
rnacentral:rRNA from 1 species